rnacentral:rRNA from 1 species
GCAAGUCGAACGAGACCUUCGGGUCUAGUGGCGCACGGGUGCGUAACGCGUGGGAACCUGCCCAAAGGUGCGAAAUAACUCAGGGAAACUUGAGCUAAUACCGCAUGAUGCCGAAAGGCCAAAGAUUUAUCGCCUUUGGAUGGGCCCGCGUCGGAUUAGCUUGUUGGUGGGGUAAGGCCCACCAAGGCGACGAUCCGUAGCUGGUUUGAGAGGAUGAUC